rnacentral:rRNA from 1 species
AUUGAACGCUGGCGGCAUGCUUUACACAUGCAAGUCGAACGGUAACAGGUUAAGCUGACGAGUGGCGAACGGGUGAGUAAUGCAUCGGAACGUGCCCGAUCGUGGGGGAUAACGCAGCGAAAGCUGCGCUAAUACCGCAUACGAUCUGAGGAUGAAAGCGGGGGACCGUAAGGCCUAGCGCGAUCGGAGCGGCCGAUGGCAGAUUAGGUAGUUGGUGGGGUAAAGGCUCACCAAGCCAACGAUCUGUAGCUGGUCUGAGAGGACGACCAGCCACACUGGGACUGAGACACGGCCCAGACUCCUACGGGAGGCAGCAGUGGGGAAUUUUGGACAAUGGGCGAAAGCCUGAUCCAGCAAUGCCGCGUGCAGGUAGAAGGCCUUCGGGUUGUAAACUGCUUUUGUACGGAGCGAAAAGGUCCCCUCUAAUACAGGGGGCUCAUGACGGUACCGUAAGAAUAAGCACCGGCUAACUACGUGCCAGCCGCCGCCGUAA